AGCUUCAACGAAAGUGCAUUUCUUAUGUUAGGUGCUGGAUGCUGGAAGUCCGGUCCCAAGGCUGUGUUCUUUCUGGAGGUUCUAGCAGAAGGUGCUGAUGGAUUUGGAGUUCAGAACACUCUGGUCACCUUCCCUCUGUCACUUUUACCCCACUGGGAACAUGGAGCAAGAUUCUUUUUGGGGUGCAGAAGGAGACUGAAUCAGAUAUGACUCAUCAGAGCAACACCCAACACUUUGAAAUGCCCUUGUGCACCUGAUGCACAAAAAGUACAUGGGUGACUUUGACCUUGAGCUCAACGAAAGGAAAUCAAGAUCAAGAUGGCAGGCUUUGACUGUGGGAAAUUCCAUCAACAAAACUGAUCAAAGGAAUCAGGAGUUUGCCCGUAAGGAUUUGGACCUUCUGUUGCUGGCCUGGCUACAUCUAGAUACAUCGGAGGGAGUGUGCAGUGGUCAGAGAACAGAGGCAUGGGAAAGUGAACACCUGGUACUGGCAGUGGAUGGUACUCCGGCAGUCACCAAGGCAACAAAGCAGAGCCAAGGACUGCUAAUGCUACCCACCUUCUGAGACUUCACAAGAACCCACUAAGCCAGGAAGUUUAUCUUUUUCCAGUUCAGUCUAACACACCAUGGGCUCACUGGUCUCUACCCCAACUCCCCACACCUGUUCCAUGCCCUGCAGAGGGCACAGCAUGCAUCUGCUUCCACUGGAAACCCACAGACAAUACUGUGUGGAAGAGUCCAUUAGAAUAUCCGUUUUCUGGCCUCUCUUUGGAGCUGCCAGAAUCCAAUAUGUUUCCCCAUAUGUUUGAACCUUUCUACAAUUCUUCCAUCUGUUUCUGGGAAAUGUGAAGGAAUUUAA